ACGCUCGACACCUACUGGAGGCAGCAGUGGGGAAUAUUGCACAAUGGGGGAAACCCUGAUGCAGCGACGCCGCGUGAGUGAAGAAGUAUUUCGGUAUGUAAAGCUCUAUCAGCAGGGAAGAAAAUGACGGUACCUGACUAAGAAGCCCCGGCUAACUACGUGCCAGCAGCCGAGUAAUCUGAGCGGGCUGGACAAGGC
rnacentral:rRNA from 1 species